rnacentral:rRNA from 1 species
UACGGAGGGGGCUAGCGUUGUUCGGAAUUACUGGGCGUAAAGCGCGCGUAGGCGGACCUGCAAGUCGGGGGUGAAAGCCCGAGGCUCAACCUCGGAACUGCCUUCGAUACUGCGGGUCUCGAGUCCGGGAGAGGUGAGUGGAAUUCCUAGUGUAGAGGUGAAAUUCGUAGAUAUUAGGAAGAACACCAGUGGCGAAGGCGGCUCACUGGCUCGGUACUGACGCUGAGACGCGAAAGCUAGGGGAGCGAACAGG